AUUUGCUUACAAUCAUUCAGAGCACUAUGUAGCAAUACAGUGUGAUGGACUGCCUUUUGCAUAAUGAGCCUGCGAGUUGUGGUGUCUGGCAAGGUUAAGCAAACGCGAAGCCGUAGCGAAAGCGAGUCUGAAUAGGGCGCUUAGUCAGAUGCUGCAGACCCGAAACGAAGUGAUCUAUCCAUGAGCAAGUUGAAGCUAGUGUAAGAACUAGUGGAGGACUGAACCCAUAGGCGUUGAAAAGCCCCGGGAUGACUUGUGGAUAGGGGUGAAAGGCCAAUCAAACUUCGUGAUAGCUGGUUCUCUCCGAAAUAUAUUUAGGUAUAGCGUUGUGUCGUAAUAUAAGGGGGUAGAGCACUGAAUGGGCUAGGGCAUACACCAAUGUACCAAACCCUAUCAAACUCCGAAUACCUUAUAUGUAAUCACAGCAGUCAGGCGGCGAGUGAUAAAAUCCGUCGUCAAGAGGGAAACAACCCAGACUACCAGCUAAGGUCCCUAAAUCUUACUUAAGUGGAAAACGAUGUGAAGUUACUUAAACAACCAGGAGGUUGGCUUAGAAGCAGCCAUCCUUUAAAGAAAGCGUAAUAGCUCACUGGUCUAGUGAUUUUGCGCGGAAAAUAUAACGGGGCUAAAGUAAGUACCGAAGCUGUAGACUUGCACACAACUUAGAUUAUUUAAGUUUAGAAUAUGAGAAACUAAGUUAUGUUUAGUUAUAUUUUUACUGAUUUUUAUAGAGUAAAGAUAGAAAUAAAACUUAGUAAAAUCAGUAAAAAUAUUCUUAGGCUAAAGUUAAGUAGUUUAAGUUGUGUGUAAGUGGUAGGAGAGCGUUCUAUUUGCGUCGAAGGUAUACCGGUAAGGAGUGCUGGAGCGAAUAGAAGUGAGCAUGCAGGCAUGAGUAGCGAUAAUUAAUGUGAGAAUCAUUAACGCCGUAAACCCAAGGUUUCCUACGCGAUGCUCGUCAUCGUAGGGUUAGUCGGGUCCUAAGUCGAGUCCGAAAGGGGUAGACGAUGGCAAAUUGGUUAAUAUUCCAAUACCAACAUUAGUGUGCGAUGGAAGGACGCUUAGGGCUAAGGGGGCUAGCGGAUGGAAGUGCUAGUCUAAGGUCGUAGGAGGUUAUACAGGCAAAUCCGUAUAACAAUACUCCGAGAACUGAAAGGCUUUUUGAAGUCUUCGGAUGGAUAGAAGAACCCCUGAUGCCGUCGAGCCAAGAAAAGUUUCUAAGUUUAGCUAAUGUUGCCCGUACCGUAAACCGACACAGGUGGGUGGGAUGAGUAUUCUAAGGCGCGUGGAAGAACUCUCUUUAAGGAACUCUGCAAAAUAGCACCGUAUCUUCGGUAUAAGGUGUGGUUAGCUUCGUACUAGGAUUUACUCCGAAAGCGAAGAAACUUACAACAAAGAGUCCCUCCCGACUGUUUACCAAAAACACAGCACUCUGCUAACUCGUAAGAGGAUGUAUAGGGUGUGACGCCUGCCCGGUGCUCGAAGGUUAAUUGAUGGGGUUAGCAUUAGCGAAGCUCUUGAUCGAAGCCCGAGUAAACGGCGGCCGUAACUAUAACGGUCCUAAGGUAGCGAAAUUCCUUGUCGGUUAAAUACCGACCUGCAUGAAUGGCGUAACGAGAUGGGAGCUGUCUCAAAGAGGGAUCCAGUGAAAUUGUAGUGGAGGUGAAAAUUCCUCCUACCCGCGGCAAGACGGAAAGACCCCGUGGACCUUUACUACAGCUUGACACUGCUACUUGGAUAAGAAUGUGCAGGAUAGGUGGGAGGCUUUGAGUAUAUGACGCCAGUUGUAUAUGAGCCAUUGUUGAGAUACCACUCUUUCUUAUUUGGGUAGCUAACCAGCUUGAGUUAUCCUCAAGUGGGACAAUGUCUGGUGGGUAGUUUGACUGGGGCGGUCGCCUCCCAAAUAAUAACGGAGGCUUACAAAGGUUGGCUCAGAACGGUUGGAAAUCGUUCGUAGAGUAUAAAGGUAUAAGCCAGCUUAACUGCAAGACAUACAAGUCAAGCAGAGACGAAAGUCGGUCUUAGUGAUCCGGUGGUUCUGUGUGGAAGGGCCAUCGCUCAAAGGAUAAAAGGUACCCCGGGGAUAACAGGCUGAUCUCCCCCAAGAGCUCACAUCGACGGGGAGGUUUGGCACCUCGAUGUCGGCUCAUCGCAUCCUGGGGCUGGAGCAGGUCCCAAGGGUAUGGCUGUUCGCCAUUUAAAGCGGUACGCGAGCUGGGUUCAGAACGUCGUGAGACAGUUCGGUCCCUAUCUGCCGUGGGCGUAAGAAGAUUGAAGAGAUUUGACCCUAGUACGAGAGGACCGGGUUGAACAAACCACUGGUGUAGCUGUUGUUCUGCCAAGAGCAUCGCAGCGUAGCUAAGUUUGGAAAGGAUAAACGCUGAAAGCAUCUAAGCGUGAAGCCAACUCUAAGAUGAAUCUUCUCUAAGCUCUCUAGAAGACUACUAGUUUGAUAGGCUGGGUGUGUAAUGGAUGAAAGUCCUUUAGCUGACCAGUACUAAUAGAGCGUUUGGCUUAUCUUUAAUAAAGCAU
rnacentral:rRNA from 1 species